rnacentral:rRNA from 1 species
GAUGAACGCUGGCGGCGUGCCUAAUACAUGCAAGUCGAGCGAACGGACGAGAAGCUUGCUUCUCUGAUGUUAGCGGCGGACGGGUGAGUAACACGUGGAUAACCUACCUAUAAGGCUGGGAUAACUUCGGGAAACCGGAGCUAAUACCGGAUAAUAUUUUGAACCGCAUGGUUCAAAAGUGAAAGACGGUCUUGCUGUCACUUAUAGAUGGAUCCGCGCUGCAUUAGCUAGUUGGUAAGGUAACGGCUUACCAAGGCAACGAUGCAUAGCCGACCUGAGAGGGUGAUCGGCCACACUGGAACUGAGACACGGUCCAGACUCCUACGGGAGGCAGCAGUAGGGAAUCUUCCGCAAUGGGCGAAAGCCUGACGGAGCAACGCCGCGUGAGUGAUGAAGGUCUUCGGAUCGUAAAACUCUGUUAUUAGGGAAGAACAUAUGUGUAAGUAACUGUGCACAUCUUGACGGUACCUAAUCAGAAAGCCACGGCUAACCACGUG